CAGGCGUCUAAGGUAGAUGUCCACUACAAUGCCUUACUGAUGAGUCCAGUAAUGAAACCGGGACGAAACGCCAA
rnacentral:hammerhead_ribozyme from 15 species